CCGGAGGAAGGCGGGGAUGACGUCAAGUCCUCAUGGCCCUUACGGGUUGGGCUACACACGUGCUACAAUGGCAUCUACAGUGAGCAGCGAUCCCGCGAGGGCUAGCUAAUCUCCAAAAGAUGUCUCAGUUCGGAUUGUUCUCUGCAACUCGAGAGCAUGAAGGCGGAAUCGCUAGUAAUCGCGGAUCAGCAUGCCGCGGUGAAUACGUUCCCAGGCCUUGUACACACCGCCCGUCACGCCAUGGGAGUUGGUUCUACCCGAAGGUAGUGCGCUAACCCGCAAGGGAGGCAGCUAACCACGGUGGGAUCAGCGACUGGGGUGAAGUCGAAACAAGGUAGCCGUAGGGGAACCUGCGGCUGG
rnacentral:rRNA from 1 species